GAAUUUUGGACAAUGGGAGAAAGCCUGAUCCAGCAAUGCCGCGUGCAGGAUGAAGGCCUUCGGGUUGUAAACUGCUUUUGUGCGGAACGAAAAGAUUUGGGUUAAUACCCUGGUGUCAUGACGGUACCGUAAGACUAGACACCGGCUAACUACGUGCCCGCAGCCGCGGUAAAACGCAGGGUGCCAGCGUUAAUCGGAAUUACUGGGCGUAAAGCGUGCGCAGGCGGUUUUGUAAGUCAGAGGUGAAAUCCCCGGGCUCAACCGGGGAACUGCCUUUGUGACUGCAAGGCUAGAGUACGGCAGAGGGGGGUGGAAUUCCGCGUGUAGCAGUGAAAUGCGUAGAUAUGCGGAGGAACACCGAUGGCGAAGGCAACCCCCUGGGCCUGUACUGACGCUCAUGCACGAAAGCGUGGGGAGCAAAC
rnacentral:rRNA from 1 species